UACGGGAGGCAGCAGUGGGGAAUAUUGCACAAUGGGCGAAAGCCUGAUGCAGCGACGCCGCGUGAGGGAUGAAGGCCUUCGGGUCGUAAACCUCUUUCAGCAGGGAAGAAGCGCAAGUGACGGUACCCGCAGAAGAAGCACCGGCUAACUACGUGCCAGCAGCCGCGGUAAUACGUAGGGUGCGAGCGUUGUCCGGAAUUAUUGGGCGUAAAGAGCUCGUAGGCGGCUUGUCGCGUCGGAUGUGAAAGCCCGGGGCUUAACCCCGGGUCUGCAUUCGAUACGGGCAGGCUAGAGUGUGGUAGGGGAGAUCGGAAUUCCUGGUGUAGCGGUGAAAUGCGCAGAUAUCAGGAGGAGCACCGGUGGCGAAGGCGGAUCUCUGGGCCAUUACUGACGCUGAGGAGCGAAAGCGUGGGGAGCGAACAGGAUUAGAUACCCUGGUAGUCCACGCCGUAAACGGUGGGAACUAGGUGUUGGCGACAUUCCACGUCGUCGGUGCCGCAGCUAACGCAUUAAGUUCCCCGCCUGGGGAGU
rnacentral:rRNA from 1 species